AGCGAACGCUGGCGGCAGGCUUAACACAUGCAAGUCGAGCGGGUGUAGCAAUACAUCAGCGGCAGACGGGUGAGUAACGCGUGGGAACGUACCUUUUGGUUCGGAACAACACAGGGAAACUUGUGCUAAUACCGGAUAAGCCCUUACGGGGAAAGAUUUGUCGCCGAAAGAUCGGCCCGCGUCUGAUUAGCUAGUUGGUAGGGUAACGGCCUACCAAGGCGACGAUCAGUAGCUGGUCUGAGAGGAUGAUCAGCCACAUUGGGACUGAGACACGGCCCAAACUCCUACGGGAGGCAGCAGUGGGGAAUAUUGGACAAUGGGGGCAACCCUGAUCCAGCCAUGCCGCGUGAGUGAUGAAGGCCCUAGGGUUGUAAAGCUCUUUUGUGCGGGAAGAUAAUGACGGUACCGCAAGAAUAAGCCCCGGCUAACUUCGUGCCAGCCGCCGCCGUAACAC
rnacentral:rRNA from 1 species